AACGAACGCUGGCGGCAUGCCUAACACAUGCAAGUCGAACGAGACCUUCGGGUCUAGUGGCGCACGGGUGCGUAACGCGUGGGAACCUGCCCUUAGGUUCGGAAUAACUCCCCGAAAGGGGUGAUAAUACCGGAUAAUGUCUUCGGACCAAAGAUUUAUCGCGUUUGGAUGGGCCCGCGUUGGAUUAGCUAGCUGGUAGGGUAAAAGCCUACCAAGGCGACGAUCCAUAGCUGGUCUGAGAGGAUGAUCAGCCACACUGGGACUGAGACACGGCCCAGACUCCUACGGGAUGCAGCAGUGGGUAAUAUUGGAAAAUGGGCGAAAGCCUGAUGCAGCAAUGCCGCGUGAGUGAUGAAGGCCUGAGGGUUGUAAAGCUCUUUUACCCGGGAUGAUAAUGACAGUACCGGGAGAAUAAGCUCCGGCUAACUCCGUG
rnacentral:rRNA from 1 species